GAACGGCAGCACGGGAGCAAUCCUGGUGGCGAGUGGCGAACGGGUGAGUAAUACAUCGGAACGUGCCCAGUAAUGGGGGAUAGCCCGGCGAAAGCCGGAUUAAUACCGCAUACGACCUACGGGUGAAAGUGGGGGAUCGCAAGACCUCACGUUAUUGGAGCGGCCGAUGUCAGAUUAGGUUGUUGGUGGGGUAACAGCCCACCAAGCCGACGAUCUGUAGCUGGUCUGAGAGGACGACCAGCCACACUGGGACUGAGACACGGCCCAGACUCCUACGGGAGGCAGCAGUGGGGAAUUUUGGACAAUGGGCGCAAGCCUGAUCCAGCCAUGCCGCGUGCGGGAAGAAGGCCUUCGGGUUGUAAACCGCUUUUGUCAGGGAAGAAACGGUCUGCACUAAUACUGCGGAUUAAUGACGGUACCUGAAGAAUAAGCACCGGCUAACUACGUGCCAGCAGCCGCGGUAAUACGUAGGGUGCAAGCGUUAAUCGGAAUUACUGGGCGUAAAGCGUGCGCAGGCGGCUUUGCAAGACAGAUGUGAAAUCCCCGGGCUUAACCUGGGAACUGCAUUUGUGACUGCAAGGCUGGAGUGCGGCAGAGGGGGAUGGAAUUCCGCGUGUAGCAGUGAAAUGCGUAGAUAUGCGGAGGAACACCGAUGGCGAAGGCAAUCCCCUGGGCCUGCACUGACGCUCAUGCACGAAAG
rnacentral:rRNA from 1 species